ACAUGCAGUUUGAGCCACAAAUCUGAGGCACGUUGUCACAUAGAGGGACGUCGGCAGCAGCUGAGGUUAGGCCUCUGGAGCUCAGGUCUGGCAUCAAGGAAUGAAGAGUUUUCUUCCUGAGACAGCGCAAGUGGCCUGAGAGCAUGCAUGACAGCUGGCUUUAGAGCUUGGCAAGGAGUGAGUGAAGAAGGUUGAGAAAUUCUCCUCUGGGAAGUGUUGAAAAAAUUGCUUUGUCAGUGUUUUUUACUCAUAUUAUCACAGAGCUUUAAAUGAGUAUCCAGCGUACAUGCAUCUAUGUAUCAGGUAUGUCUGUGAGCAUAUGUAAACUGGCAUGGGAGCUG